UUACGGUCAAAUCACACUGAAAACACCGGUUCUCGUUCGAUCACCGAAGUUAAGCAACGUCGAGCUUGGUCAGUAGAUGGGGGACCACCUGAGAACAUUGAGU